rnacentral:rRNA from 1 species
GACGAACGCUGGCGGCGUGCUUAACACAUGCAAGUCGAACGGAAAGGCCUGCUUUCCCUUGUGGAUUGCGGGUACUCGAGUGGCGAACGGGUGAGUAACACGUGAGUGAUCAGCCCCCAACUUGGGUAUAAGCCUGGGAAACUGGGUCUAAUUCCCGAUAGGACUGCAGGGUGGUGCCUGUGGUGGAAAACGAUUUUCUAGUGGUUGGGGAUGAGCUCGCGGCCUAUCAGCUUGUUGGUGGGGUAAUGGCCUACCAAGGCGGCGACGGGUAGCCGGCCUGAGAGGGUGGACGGCCACAUUGGGACUGAGAUACGGCCCAGACUCCUACGGGAGGCAGCAGUGGGGAAUAUUGCACAAUGGGCGGAAGCCUGAUGCAGCGACGCCGCGUGGGGGAUGACGGCCUUCGGGUUGUAAACUCCUUUCGACCGCGAGGAAGCCACCUGGUUGGAAGGGUGGUGACGGUAGUGGUAGAAGAAGCACCGGCUAACUACGUG